rnacentral:rRNA from 1 species
AGACACGGCCCAGACUCCUACGGGAGGCAGCAGUAGGGAAUCUUCCGCAAUGGACGCAAGUCUGACGGAGCAACGCCGCGUGAGUGAUGAAGGUUUUCGGAUCGUAAAGCUCUGUUGCCCUAGACGAACAGCAAGGAGAGUAACUGCUCUUUGUGUGACGGUAUAGGAGAAGAAAGCCCCGGCUAACUACGUGCCAGCAGCCGCGGUAAUACGUAGGGGGCAAGCGUUGUCCGGAAUUAUUGGGCGUAAAGCGCGCGCAGGCGGUCAAUUAAGUUGGGUGUUUAAGCCCGGGGCUCAACCCCGGUUCGCAUCCAAAACUGGUUGACUUGAGUGUAGGAGAGGAAAGUGGAAUUCCACGUGUAGCGGUGAAAUGCGUAGAGAUGUGGAGGAACACCAGUGGCGAAGGCGACUUUCUGGCCUAUAACUGACGCUGAGGCGCGAAAGCGUGGGGAGCAAACAGGAUUAGAUACCCUGGUAGUCCACGCCGUAAACGAUGUCUACUAGUUGUCGGGUCUUUAUUGACUUGGUAACGCAGCUAACGCGUGAAGUAGACCGCCUGGGGAGUACGGUCGCAAGAUUAAAACUCAANAGGAAUUGAC